rnacentral:lncRNA from 1 species
UUCACCAGGACUUCCAAACAGCCCAGGCCUAAGGAAGAGCGGCUUUAUGAAGGAGUUUCCAAGACAGGGACCUCUGUGAAUGGUGUUAGCACACUCUUAAAUGCUUAUCGAUGAUCAGUGAAGAGACCACAGGGAUCCCAAAAACCCUUACUUCCAGCUAUCCUGACUUCCCAAGACUGGCUCUUCAGGACGUCACUAUGGACCAGACAGGUGGACUUCCAGGCCAACAGCAUGGCAAGGAGCUUCCUGGAAUGCCAUGAAAUCCAAAAGUCAGAAUAAGAUUAUUUGCCCCAUGGAGGACUUGCCUAAUUACCAGAAUAAGGUUGGCAGUUUGUGAUAUCUUCUGGUUAAGUUUUCAACUUUAGUUAUGAAGUUACCACGAGAAGCAGGAGUUAUGAAUACAAAGCAUUCAGAAAAUUUGCCAGCAUGGACUUAUAUCUCUAAAAUAGGAUUGGCUCAAGUGAUUUCAAGGCACCAUACCAAGACCUGUGUUAUGUCGGAGCAAACAAAAGACAACAGAUAUUCCUUGUGUAUGUUGGUGAAAUACUACUAUUAAAGUUUCAAGCUUUUCCACAAAUGAAGGCAGCAUCUCGUCAGUGCCACAUCACUGGGCUUCAGGAGAAUUGGGUAAAGUAAAACAGGGCCUUAUCUUCCUCUGUGUUGUUAUCUUCCUCUGUGUUGUUAGAACCAAGUGGCUGCUGCCCAUGGGGUACUGGCCUCAUGUGCCACCUGCUCAGAGCACAUCCUGAGGACACCAGCUUUCCCCAGAGUGUCUCCUCCACACACCACCAGGGUGAGGGGCAGUGUCACUAAUACCUUUCCCUGACCUGUCAACCCUGCACCCAGUGAGACGAUUGGAGGUAUGUGCUGAGCAUCACUGUGAUGCUGGCAAGUCUACCUGGCUGCAGAGCAAGGCCUUUCAGGCUCUGGAGAUAAUGAGAAGAGCCUGGGUGCAUCGUAACCACCCCAGUCUGUCUCCUCCCCAGGGAUUUUCUGAGCUGUCUUCCCUGUGCUCAUGAUCCUCCCUACCUGGAAGGGAUUCCACCCUGCCAAUGCGGACCCACGGGGCUCUAAUACUUGGUGUCAAAGGGAGGGUCACUGUUCAGUGAGUGCCCACCUGGCCUAGGUCUACGGGGCUCUGUUUGAGUCCUUCCUGAACCUCAUGCAACCCUCCAGUGGCUGAUAGGCCCCAGGGAAGCUGAACCUACAGUCAGGAGAUGCCAUCAAGGCCUCACCUGUGAUACAUGGCAGAGGUCGGAUAUCUCUCUUUGUCCCUAAACCCUGAACUUUUCCCUCUAAGCUGUGCUCCUUGGCUGCUCCAGACAAUGUGUUCCAGGAACCCAGGACUUUGGAGCUGGAUCUGCCCCUUCGGGUGCAUGGACACUGUGAAGGGAGGCUGCUUUCUCUCUGACUCACUGUCAGGCAAAACUCACAACACAUUCCUGACCACUGAAGUGCCAGUGGAUAAUGCAGUUCCCAGCACAGUCCUGAUCACUCACUCACUCACUCACAACCACCUCAACUUUUCACUUCCAGCUUAGUUGGUCAAUGGUUUCAGCAUCUUUGGCCUUUCUUGACUCUGUCUUGAAGCCUCUAGGGCUGGAGAACUGCCAACCUGGGACAGACAGAUAAAGUAUCCAGGGGACAUUUCACCAGCAGCCACUGGGACUUUAACUGUAACAAUGACGCUAUACUUAGAUAAGCAAGAGCUGAUUUCACACAAGUUCUUACUUCUUCUCUCUCUGACAGAGCUGUUAGCACUCUCAGGGUCAAUGCCUUCUUCUGAAGGAAAUACUUCCUGCUGCACCGGUAACUCAUGUUUCAUUAUAACAUAGGGAAGAUGCAUGAUAGUCUCCAUAUGCAGAUACUGUGUCAUUAGUCAAAUGAAUCAUUCCAGCAGGUGCCUGGGAAAGGCUGGGGCCAGCUGACAUCUUUAUGAUGAUUAUAUAGUCUUUGUGUCUCAUGCAACUAAAAAUAGCUCUCUAAGACAAAAAAUUUGAAUUGAAGCACAUUUUUCUGCAUGGGGAAAGUAGUGCCCAUUAAAUUUCUUCUGAUUUUCUGCAUGGGGAAAGCAGUGCCCAUUAAAUUUGUUCUGAAUGUGCUUACUAUAGUUCUUUCCUUUGAAUAUGAUUUUCUGCUGUUGAUUUUGAUCAGUAAAGAUGGAAUACAGACCAACUACCCUGUUGGUUCAAUUGGCUAAUAAUUUCCUGUACAAUGAUUGAUUUUCAACAAAAUGAAAAAAUAAACAAGUGAAGAUGCCUAUGUUGUCAAAAACAUCCUUGCUAGGUAACUGUUUUCAACCAUUAGCCCUA